rnacentral:rRNA from 1 species
GAAUAUUAUGCGUGAGACAGUUCGGAUUCUAUCUUUGUUAGCAAAGGCAUUUAUUGCCAAAGCAACUAAAGCCUUUGAGAGCGAGUACGAAAGGACCAAUCUCUUAUAAACCUCUGGUGUACUUGUUGUCUUGUUUACGGCAUAGUAAGAAAGCUACGUUUAAUGAGGCUAAUUUGCUUACUUUCAAUAAUAUCGAAUGAGCUUAGUUUAAAUAAGCUAAAGAAUUUUAUUAUAUAAAUUGUUC